AAAUUUCAAAGGUUACCCAGGUCGGUAAAGGAUCUCAAAAUGGCUGGACGGAAACUUGCUCUAAAAACCAUUGACUGGGUAGCUUUCAGGGAGAUCAUCUCCCAAAGCUGGAAGGCUGUGACUAACUCCUUGAAGUCCUGGAACGAGACCCUCACUUCCAGGUUGGCUACUCUGCCUGAGAAGCCAUCUGCCAUCGACUGGGCUUACUCCAAGGCCAACGUGGUAAAACCUGGCUUGAUGGAUGACUUUGAGAAGAAGUUUAAUGCCCUGAACGUUCCUAUACCAGAGGAUAAAUAUACUGCCCAGGUGGAUGCUGAAGAAAAAGAAGAUGUGAAAAGUUGUGCUGAGUUUUUGUCUCUUUCAAAGACCAGGAUUCAGGAAUAUGAGAAAGAGCUGGAGAAGAUGAGGAACAUAAUUCCAUUUGAGCAGAUGACCAUUGAGAACUUGAAUGAUGUCUUCCCAGAAACCAAAUUAGACAAGAAGAAGUCCCCUACUGGCCUCACAAGCCAAUUGAGAGCUUAUAAGCUCAAGUCUGGGAG